rnacentral:rRNA from 1 species
CUACCACUUACAGAUGGACCCGCGGCGCAUUAGCUAGUUGGUGAGGUAACGGCUCACCAAGGCGACGAUGCGUAGCCGACCUGAGAGGGUGAUCGGCCACACUGGGACUGAGACACGGCCCAGACUCCUACGGGAGGCAGCAGUAGGGAAUCUUCCGCAAUGGACGAAAGUCUGACGGAGCAACGCCGCGUGAGUGAUGAAGGUUUUCGGAUCGUAAAACUCUGUUGUUAGGGAAGAACAAGUACCGUUCGAAUAGGGCGGUACCUUGACGGUACCUAACCAGAAAGCCACGGCUAACUACGUGCCAGCAGCCGCGGUAAUACGUAGGUGGCAAGCGUUGUCCGGAAUUAUUGGGCGUAAAGCGCGCGCAGGCGGUUUCUUAAGUCUGAUGUGAAAGCCCCCGGCUCAACCGGGGAGGGUCAUUGGAAACUGGGGAACUUGAGUGCAGAAGAGGAGAGUGGAAUUCCACGUGUAGCGGUGAAAUGCGUAGAGAUGUGGAGGAACACCAGUGGCGAAGGCGACUCUCUGGUCUGUAACUGACGCUGAGGCGCGAAAGCGUGGGGAGCGAACAGGAUUAGAUACCCUGGUAGUCCACGCCGUAAACGAUGAGUGCUAAGUGUUAGAGGGUUUCCGCCCUUUAGUGCUGCAGCAAACGC